rnacentral:rRNA from 1 species
GACGAACGCUGGCGGCGUGCUUCAUACAUGCAAGUCGAACGAGAACCGAUAGCUUGCUAUCGGGGAAAGUGGCGGACGGGUGAGUAAUAUGUAGAGAAUCUGCCCUUGAGUGGGGGACAACAGAGGGAAACUUCUGCUAAUACCCCAUAUGAGCUAACCUGAAAUGGUUAUCUUGAAAACUCCGGUGCUCAAGGAUGAGUCUGCAUCUGAUUAGCUAGUUGGUGAGGUAACGGCCCACCAAGGCAACGAUCGGUAGCCGGACUGAGAGGUUGAACGGCCACAUUGGGACUGAGACACGGCCCAG